GACGAUCGCUGGCGGCGUGCUUAACACAUGCAAGUCGAACGGAAAGGCUCCAGCUUGCUGGAGUACUCGAGUGGCGAACGGGUGAGUAACACGUGGGUGAUCUGCCCUGCACUUCGGGAUAAGCCUGGGAAACUGGGUCUAAUACCGGAUAGGACCGCACUUUGGUGUGUGUGGUGGAAAGGUUUUUCUGGUGUGGGAUGAGCUCGCGGCCUAUCAGUUUGUUGGUGGGGUAAUGGCCUACCAAGACGGCGACGGGUAGCCGGCCUGAGAGGGUGGACGGUCACAUUGGGACUGAGAUACGGCCCAGACUCCUACGGGAGGCAGCAGUGGGGAAUAUUGCACAAUGGGGGAAACCCUGAUGCAGCGACGCCGCGUGGGGGAGGAAGGCCUUCGGGUUGUAAACUCCGUUCGCUAGGGACGAAGCUUUUUGUGACGGUACCUGGAGAAGAAGCACCGGCUAACUACGUG
rnacentral:rRNA from 1 species